GUAAGGGAUAUUGCACAAUGGGCGCAAGCCUGAUGCAGCAACGCCGCGUGCCCGAAGAAGGCCUUCGGGUUGUAAAGGGCUUUUCUGGUUGACGAGGCAGGACAGUAGACCAGGAAGAAGAGACGGCUAACUACGUGCCAGCAGCCGCGGUAAAACGUAGGUCUCGAGCGUUAUCCGGAGUUACUGGGCGUAAAGCGCGGGCAGGCGGGGUCUCAAGUCGGACGUGAAAGCUCCUGGCUCAACCGGGAGAGGCCGUUCGAAACUGGGGCACUGGAGGGCAGUCGAGGUGCGUGGAAUUCCGGGUGGAGUGGUGAAAUGCGUAGAGAUCCGGAGGAACACCAGAGGCGAAGGCGGCGCACCAGGCUGCGACUGACGCUGAGCCGCGAAAGCAUGGGGAGCGAACGGGAUUAGAUACCCUUGUAGUCC
rnacentral:rRNA from 1 species